CGAAUACACAUCCUUCACAUUCUUUGGAGUCCUCCAGAUUCUUAUCCACUGUCAAAAUUUUAUUAUAAUUGAUCUGUAGAUCGUCGUUACUUGCUUCCUUUUCUUAUAGUCUUGCUAAAUUGCUAAUGUCUUUGAGUUGUUCACCUAUAACGUCUAAAUCAUCUACUAAGAAGAGGAUUCGUUAGGUGCUAUGUUUAAUCGAUAAGCCACUUCACUUCGCUGAAGCUCUCUUACCACCUUUUCCAACGCUACGUUAAACAGAAUUGAAGAGACCGCGCCUCCUUGUUUUAGACCCGUUUCAAUAUUUAAAAAAAGAU